UACGUAGGGGGCAAGCGUUGUCCGGAAUCAUUGGGCGUAAAGAGCGUGUAGGCGGUUCGGUAAGUCCGCUGUGAAAGUCCAGGGCUCAACCCUGGAAAGCCGGUGGAAACUGUCGAGCUAGAGUCCGGAAGAGGAGAAUGGAAUUCCUGGUGUAGCGGUGAAAUGCGCAGAUAUCAGGAAGAACACCCGUGGCGAAGGCGGUUCUCUGGGACGGUACUGACGCUGAGACGCGAAAGCGUGGGGAGCGAACAGG
rnacentral:rRNA from 1 species